CCAGCACAGUUCUGUAGACUGGAUCUCUUCUCCUUCAGCAUGGAAAGCUACAAACUGCCUCCUGAGUUUUGCAGCAAUUGGUUGUGGAGCUCUUCUUCCCGCUGAGGAGUAAGGCAGCAGCGUCUUCUGAAACUGAAGUCAAUCAAGUUCCAAUACUUAGUUGGCAGGAAGUGCUCAAUUAGCAAGGAGCAAUCAGUUGUUUCUUCCAGAGCCUCAAGAAUGUAGCCUCCAGGGGCAUAGGUGCUGGAACUACGGGUGCUGGUGAUGCGGCCGCACCCACUGGCUUAAAGUGGUUUCUAUCAUAUACAGGGUUUACCGUUUGGUUCAAUGGUUGUCAGCACCCCCUCUAAACAAACUGUCCCAACACCCCUGCUCCACAGAAGUGGCUCUCAUUUCCAGGCCUAAGGAAUGAGAGCUGCAGCUAAUGCUAAGCAUUCUUAGAAAGAAUGUGUCUUCUACGGUUUUGAAAUGACUGUCUUUUCCAUUGUGCGUCAGUAAAGAGAAUUGGAGGGAGACGUACACGAGCAGCUCCUGUAGUGAAUCCACUGCAAAGCACCACAGCCUUUCAGAUUAUAAACUCCUUGUGGCAUGGAGAAUGUCAAAACAUUGCUGGUAUAUUGGAUGCCAGGUAACACUUUUCUGCUGGACACUGCUGGAUGUUUUUCAUUGAUCUGCCUUGCAAAAUUCCAGUCAGAUGCUGACCUUGAGCAAGAAAUACUUUUUGACAGGAUGGAUGGAAGCAGAAAAGGCUGAAGCUGAAGACCAAACAAGAGAAGAGAUUUGCUUGUCAUGGAGUCCCACCACAAGAUAGAGCCUGUCACUGAUGUACAUGUUUGGUGGACACAGUCACUUACAUGAGGCUGGAGGGUUGGC